GGCUUGUUCGAUUUGGUUGAGAUUUGCUCGUAACCGAAUCUGGUAGUGAUGAACUCAUGAACACGCGUUUGAAUGUGAAUUUUCUGGAAAUAAUUCGUGUUUGAUCUUCUUUCUCGCCUGGCCAAUUCGAAUCGUGUUUGCCGCGCGAAUUGACGAACCAUAAAGUGCCAGCACAUUAAAACAAAACGGCCGCGUUUUGGCUAGGCGCUUAAGUAUUACAAGUUUGCCACUGGUCCAAUUUAUUUAUAUUAUUUCAUUUUCUUUUUUU
rnacentral:lncRNA from 1 species